AGAGUUUGAUCAUGGCUCAGGAUGAACGCUGGCGGCGUGCCUAACACAUGCAAGUCGAGCGAACCCUUCGGGGUGAGCGGCGGACGGGUGAGUAACGCGUGGGUAACCUGCCCUGUACACACGGAUAAUAUACCGAAAGGUAUGCUAAUACGAGAUAAUAUAUUUUAAUCGCAUGGUUAAGAUAUCAAAGCUCCGGCGGUACAGGAUGGACCCGCGUCUGAUUAGCUAGUUGGUGAGGUAAUGGCUCACCAAGGCGACGAUCAGUAGCCGACCUGAGAGGGUGAUCGGCCACACUGGAACUGAGACACGGUCCAGACUCCUACGGGAGGCAGCAGUGGGGAAUAUUGCACAAUGGGCGAAGGCCUGAUGCAGCAACGCCGCGUGAGCGAUGAAGGCCUUCGGGUCGUAAAGCUCUGUCCUCAAGGAAGAUAAUGACGGUACUUGAGGAGGAAGCCCCGGCUAACUACGUGCCAGCAGCCGCGGUAAU
rnacentral:rRNA from 1 species